UCUAUAUUCACUGCUGUCCGUGCAAGUGCUGGGGUUGACAUUAAUCACUAUGACAUCAGAAAGAAGUGUGAGGGACGACUCUGCUAUGACUUCUCAGACAUGGAGAAAAUGCUGAAUCUGCGCUCUGUUAAAAAGGCUCUUGGCGUUGAGGAUAUAGAGUUUGUCUCGUGUAGUACUACUGUGUACCAGGCAAUGCUUGUUGACUGGAUGAGGAACUCCGAAGUAGGAAUUCCAACCUUGCUCGAGGAUGGAAUAAAGCUGCUUGUUUAUGCUGGAGAAUAUGAUCUUAUUUGCAACUGGCUUGGUAACUCAAGAUGGGUUCAGGCCAUGGAAUGGAAAGGUCAGAAAGAGUUUGUAGCAUCUAUCGAAGUCCCCUUUGAAGUUAACGGUACUGAAGCAGGAUUGUUGAGAAGCCAUGGACCUCUAAGUUUCCUCAAGGUUCAUGAUGCUGGACACAUGGUUCCAAUGGAUCAGCCUAAAGCUGCUUUAGAGAUGCUAAAGAGGUGGACUAGAGGCACCCUUUCUCAGCAGACGACUGAACCUGAAAACUUGGUUGCUUCAAUAUGAUCUCUGAUUAUGCAGUUCAUGGUUCUCACAUAUCCGUAAAUGUUGCUCCAAACUUUCUUUACGCAGUGUAUGUUUGAACCUAGCAAUGACAUUUAACUUUCUGGAUCGUAUAUGAGACAUGAUAAACAUUUGAAGUCAG
rnacentral:misc_RNA from 1 species